rnacentral:rRNA from 1 species
UAAGUGAUGGCGACCGGCGCACGGGUGAGUAACACGUAUCCAACCUGCCGAUAACUCGGGGAUAGCCUUUCGAAAGAAAGAUUAAUACCCGAUGGUAUAAUAAAGCCGCAUGGUUUAAUUAUUAAGGAAUUUCGGUUAUCGAUGGGGAUGCGUUCCAUUAGGCAGUUGGUGAGGUAACGGCUCACCAAACCUUCGAUGGAUAGGGGUUCUGAGAGGAAGGUCCCCCACAUUGGAACUGAGACACGGUCCAA